rnacentral:rRNA from 2 species
GACGAACCACCCAAACGUUAUUCGGAAUUACUGGGCUUAAAGAGUGCGUAGGCGGUCUUGUAAGUAGGGUGUGAAAUCCCACAGCUCAACUGUGGAACUGCGCUCUAAACUACAUGACUAGAGGGAUAUAGAGGUGAGCGGAACUGAUGGUGGAGCGGUGAAAUGCGUUGAUAUCAUCAGGAACACCGGAGGCGAAGGCGGCUCACUGGGUAUCUUCUGACGCUGAGGUACGAAAGCUAGGGGAGCGAACGGG